CUCACCCAAAUAGCCACAUUCUUCCAGAAGUCCAUUGGGUAAAGACUGAUAAGCAUUCCCUAUGUUAUGCAACUUGUAUGGAGUUGAAGAAUAACAUGAUGGAGAGCUCCAUUACAGUUUCGAAUCGUCUUUCAUCUCGAGCAAUGCAUUGUUGUUCAUUCUCUGUUUGCAUACUGGAGUCAUCAUCACCCUCUCUUUGGUAACAGUAGGUACAGGAACUUGCAAACUCUAGACCAUUCUUCUUCUUUUCCUCCGCCUUGGAAUCAUUGCAUAGGUUAUACCACUUCACUUGCUGCUGUAGUGAGCAUGCUGCAGCCUGAAAGUAAACAUGGAUUUGAUGCUUGAACUGGACGCUAAUGUGCAAAUGAUUUGGGCAUAUGUAACUGUGAUGGUUAAUGGGAUCUAGAUGUGGAGUCAGGUACAUCUACAUUGGACAGGCCAAUUCCUAAAAUCCUUUUGAUUCCCUUGCUAGCAUCAAACAGUAGCAGAAGCUGUCAUGGAACUGAAUGUACAGAUCUAUCUACCGGUGAUUUGUAGACUUCUGUUUAAACUUGAACGUGUUUCUAAAUGCAUUGGUAUGGACGUAUGCUUGGUUUUGAAGUGGUCAUGGCUGUUAUCUUAAGCUUGUUAAGAUUGCUAGGUCAUUGAAACAUGGGAUAGGUUAAGCAAUAUAUGUUGUGAAAUGAUAUAAUCCUUUAUGAGGUUUUUCUUGGAUUUUGAUAUAUUUCAUAGAAUUUCUAUGCUGCCAUUCUGAUGUGCCUUUGGUAACAUGUAUGCAGGCUGCCUAGUGAUGUGCAAAGCUUGUUUGGUUUGUUUUGGGUAAUUGUUGUUGAUGAUGGACAAUUUCGUGUGAUGUAUUUUGCAGGGCAAUGCGUAGGUGGAUGCUCAAUUGCUAUGUGUUCUGUCAAGGGAGUUCCUACAGGUGGAGUUCUGAGUUUCUGCAGGGUCAUGGUUUUGACUGAAAGGCUUCUUUUGUCUGUGUUCUGUUGUUUGUCAUGCUGCAGGUUGAAAGGAAGUGAAGUUGAAGCAUUACCCUCGAAACGAAUGACAGAGCCAUAUAUCAUUUUGAAAGUCGUGCACAUCCAACAUUAGUCCUUGCACUCCGUUUCUCAAAUGAUUAGGCUGCCCUCUUGUACAUAUGGGUUGGUUCAAAACACCAAAGCAGGACAAUUACCGCAAAAAGACCCGACCCACAAUCCGUAGCAGCAGAACAAGCUUUUAGAACCUGACAAUUGUCGUUAGAACAGGUGGUGGAGGAGGUGAAAAAAAAGAGAAGAGAUGAGUGGUAAAAGGAAGAACAUGGUGGUGGUUAGUGCUCUGCAUUUUGAACAGAAAUGUGAACACAUGGUUAGGUAGCUUUUACAGAAGAGCACUAUAAUGAAUGAACUUAAGCUACAAAGCUACAAAGGUACUGUAAAAUAUAGAAGAAAGAUGGAUAAUUCAACUUUGCUGGUGACUGAUAAUUUGUGUUCUUCUGCAAGUUUAUUACCACCGCAAGGCUUGGAGGAAGCAAUUUCGGUCAUUGUCGACGCAUGGCUUAUAUGGCAGGGACUGGACUUGACCUUGUUGGGAUGUCUUGGAAUUAAAUGUAAAAAUGUUUGGAAAUUGACUGAAAUAAUGUAAUUUGAAUUAUGUAUUAUGAUUUAUGUGAAUAUUGGUGUAUGGUUGAAAUGUUUUAGAGAA